rnacentral:rRNA from 1 species
GAGUUUGAUCGUGGCUCAGAUUGAACGCUGGCGGCAGGCCUAACACAUGCAAGUCGAGCGGUAGAGAGAAGCUUGCUUCUCUUGAGAGCGGCGGACGGGUGAGUAAUGCCUAGGAAUCUGCCUGGUAGUGGGGGAUAACGCUCGGAAACGGACGCUAAUACCGCAUACGUCCUACGGGAGAAAGCAGGGGACCUUCGGGCCUUGCGCUAUCAGAUGAGCCUAGGUCGGAUUAGCUAGUUGGUGAGGUAAUGGCUCACCAAGGCGACGAUCCGUAACUGGUCUGAGAGGAUGAUCAGUCACACUGGAACUGAGACACGGUCCAGACUCCUACGGGAGGCAGCAGUGGGGAAUAUUGGACAAUGGGCGAAAGCCUGAUCCAGCCAUGCCGCGUGUGUGAAGAAGGUCUUCGGAUUGUAAAGCACUUUAAGUUGGGAGGAAGGGCAGUAAAUUAAUAACUUUGCUGUUUGACGUUACCGACAGAAUAAGCACCGGCUAACUCUAGUGCCAGCCGCCG